rnacentral:sRNA from 1 species
UUCAAAGUCGCGAACUAUGUCAUUAUAUC